rnacentral:rRNA from 1 species
AACGAAUGCUGGCGGCAGGCCUUACACAUGCAAGUCGAACGUGAAAGUCCUUCGGGAUGAGUAAAGUGGCGCACGGGUGAGUAACGCGUGGGAACAUGCCCUUCAGUACGGGAUAACAGCGGGAAACUGCUGCUAAUACCGUAUAUUCCCUACGGGGGAAAGAUUUAUCGCUGAAGGAUUGGCCCGCGUUAGAUUAGCUAGUUGGUGAGGUAAUGGCUCACCAGGGCUACGAUCUAUAGCCGGUCUGGGAGGACGAUCGGCCACACUGGAACUGAGACACGGUCCAGACUCCUACGGGAGGCAGCAGUGGGGAAUAUUGGACAAUGGGCGAAAGCCUGAUCCAGCCAUGCCGCGUGAGUGAUGAAGGCCUUAGGGUUGUAAAGCUCUUUUGGCGGGGAAGAUAAUGACGGUACUUGAGGAGGAAGCCCCGGCUAACUACGUGCCAGCAGCCGCCGUAA